GUGUUUGGCUGCUUGGGAUGCAUCAUCCUUGGUAUUGCCCCUUUGUGACAUGUGGUGCUUUGAAUGAGUGCUAGCAGUUGGGUUAUCCUCCUGUCUGUCAUGCAUGCUGGCUGUUGGCCAGUUUUCAGUCAUGGGCCUGCAAGUAGCUGUAAUCCUGCGUGGUGAGCGACCAUGUGUAUUGCAGCAUUGCACCAUUUCCUUGGUCUUCACAGUGGGAGGGGUUGGCCAUGGUACCCUGUACUGGUGUGUCCACAUGGAGUGCUGUGCUUAACAUUUUGCCUUUUUCACAAGAGUGUGUCAUGGAUAUUGAGUGUGGGGUAGAAAUUUGAGGGUCUCUGUUGGCAACCUCCCUCUUUACUAGAUUAUCUCCAUUUAAUCA